rnacentral:rRNA from 1 species
GUGGUAUCCUGUCUGAAUAUGGGGGGACCAUCCUCCAAGGCUAAAUACUCCUGACUGACCGAUAGUGAACCAGUACCGUGAGGGAAAGGCGAAAAGAACCCCGGCGAGGGGAGUGAAAAAGAACCUGAAACCGUGUACGUACAAGCAGUGGGAGCCCCACCACCAAAGCAUUCUCUGGUGUUGAAGGCCCUGCAAAGCAGCAUCGCGGUGGCGGAGCGUCGUUUGCGACGCCCAACACACAAAACAAGCGGUGAGUGCUUUGGGGUGGGGUGACUGCGUACCUUUUGUAUAAUGGGUCAGCGACUUAUAUUCUGUAGCAAGGUUAACCGAAUAGGGGAGCCGGAGGGAAACCGAGUCUUAAUUGGGCGUUAAGUUGCAGGGUAUAGACCCGAAACCCGGUGAUCUAGCCAUGGGCAGGUUGAAGGUUGGGUAACACUAACUGGAGGACCGAACCGACUAAUGUUGAAAAAUUAGCGGAUGACCUGUGGCUGGGGGUGAAAGGCCAAUCAAACCGGGAGAUAGCUGGUUCUCCCCGAAAGCUAUUUAGGUAGCGCCUCGUGAAUUCAUCUCCGGGGGUAGAGCACUGUUUCGGCUAGGGGGCCAUCCCGGCUUACCAACCCGAUGCAAACUGCGAAUACCGGAGAAUGUUAUCACGGGAGACACACGGCGGGUGCUAACGUCCGUCGUGAAGAGGGAAACAACCCAGACCGCCAGCUAAGGUCCCAAAGUCAUGGUUAAGUGGGAAACGAUGUGGGAAGGCCCAGACAGCCAGGAUGUUGGCUUAGAAGCAGCCAUCAUUUAAAGAAAGCGUAAUAGCUCACUGGUCGAGUCGGCCUGCGCGGAAGAUGUAACGGGGCUAAACCAU